UACAGAGGGUGCAAGCGUUAAUCGGAAUUAUUGGGCGUAAAGGGCUCGUAGGCGGUUUGUCACGUCGGGAGUGAAAACUCAGGGCUUAACCCUGAGCCUGCUUCCGAUACGGGCAGACUAGAGGUAUGCAGGGGAGAACGGAAUUCCUGGUGUAGCGGUGAAAUGCGCAGAUAUCAGGAGGAACACCGGUGGCGAAGGCGGUUCUCUGGGCAUUACCUGACGCUGAGGAGCGAAAGUGUGGGGAGCGAACAGG
rnacentral:rRNA from 1 species